rnacentral:rRNA from 1 species
AUUGAACGCUGGCGGCGUGCCUAACACAUGCAAGUCGAGCGGUAACAGGUGUAGCAAUACAUGCUGACGAGCGGCGGACGGGUGAGUAACGCUUGGGAAUCUGCCUGUUAGUGGGGGACAACCCGGGGAAACUCGGGCUAAUACCGCAUACGCACUACGGUGGAAAGCCGGGGACCGCAAGGCCUGGCGCUCAAAGAGGGGCCCGCGCCUGAUUAGCUAGUUGGUGAGGUAAUGGCUCACCAAGGCAACGAUCAGUAUCCGGCCUGAGAGGGCGGACGGACACACUGGGACUGAGACACGGCCCAGACUCCUACGGGAGGGCAGCAGUGGGGAAUUGUUCGCAAUGGGCGCAAGCCUGACGACGCAACGCCGCGUGGAGGAUGAAGACCCUU